rnacentral:rRNA from 1 species
CAGCCGCCGCGGGAAUACCGAGGGUGCGAGCGUUAAUCGGAUUUACUGGGCGUAAAGCGUGCGUAGGCGGCUUCUUAAGUCGGAUGUGAAAUCCCUGAGCUUAACUUAGGAAUUGCAUUCGAUACUGGGAAGCUAGAGUAUGGGAGAGGAUGGUAGAAUUCCAGGUGUAGCGGUGAAAUGCGUAGAGAUCUGGAGGAAUACCGAUGGCGAAGGCAGCCAUCUGGCCUAAUACUGACGCUGAGGUACGAAAGCAUGGGGAGCAAACAGGAUUAGAUACCCCGGUAGUCCCUGUCUCUUAUAA